UGCUAAUCUGCGAUAAGCGCCGGUAAGGUGAUAUGAACCGUUAUAACCGGCGAUACCCGAAUGGGGAAACCCAGUGUGAUUCGUCACACUAUCAUUAACUGAAUCCAUAGGUUAAUGAGGCGAACCGGGGGAACUGAAACAUCUAAGUACCCCGAGGAAAAGAAAUCAACCGAGAUUCCCCCAGUAGCGGCGAGCGAACGGGGAGGAGCCCAGAGCCUGAAUCAGCAUGUGUGUUAGUGGAAGCGUCUGGAAAGGCGCGCGAUACAGGGUGACAGCCCCGUACACAAAAGCGCAUGUGCUGUGAGCUCGAUGAGUAGGGCGGGACACGUGGUAUCCUGUCUGAAUAUGGGGGGACCAUCCUCCAAGGCUAAAUACUCCUGACUGACCGAUAGUGAACCAGUACCGUGAGGGAAAGGCGAAAAGAACCCCGGCGAGGGGAGUGAAAAAGAACCUGAAACCGUGUACGUACAAGCAGUG
rnacentral:rRNA from 1 species